AAAAUACUCCAUCCGUCCCAAAUUACUUACCGCAGCAAUGGAUAAAAACGGAUGUAUCUAGAACUAAAAUACGUCUAUAUACAUCAAUUUUUGCUACAAGUAAUUUCAAACGGAGGGAGUAUCGU
rfam:Triticum urartu cultivar G1812 contig599856, whole genome shotgun sequence.